rnacentral:rRNA from 1 species
UACGAAGGGGGCUAGCGUUGCUCGGAAUUACUGGGCGUAAAGCGUGCGCAGGCGGUUUGGUAAGACAGGCGUGAAAUCCCCGGGCUUAACCUGGGAACUGCGUUUGUGACUGCCAGGCUAGAGUACGGCAGAGGGGGGUGGAAUUCCACGUGUAGCAGUGAAAUGCGUAGAGAUGUGGAGGAACACCAAUGGCGAAGGCAGCCCCCUGGGUCGAUACUGACGCUCAUGCACGAAAGCGUGGGUAGCAAACAGG